GCUAGUGUAGUUCAAUGGCAGAGCAACUCGCUGUGGCCGAGUAAACCCAGGUUCAACUCCUGGCACUAGCA
rnacentral:tRNA from 1 species